rnacentral:rRNA from 1 species
AAUCUUUGAACGCACAUUGCGCUCGCCAGUAUUCUGGCGAGCAUGCCUGUUCGAGCGUCAUUUCAACCAUCAAGCUCUGCUUGCGUUGGGGAUCCGCGGCUGCCCGCGGUCCCUCAAAAACAGUGGCGGGCUCGCUAGUCACACCGAGCGUAGUAACUCUACAUCGCUAUGGUCGUGCGGCGGGUUCUUGCCGUAAAACCCCCCAAUUUCUAAGGUUGACCUCGGAUCAGGUAGGAAUACCCGCUGAACUUAAGCAUAUCAAUAAGCGGAGGAAAAGAAACCAACAGGGAUUGCCCUAGUAACGGCGAGUGAAGCGGCAACAGCUCAAAUUUGAAAUCUGGCUUCGGCCCGAGUUGUAAUUUGUAGAGGAAGCUUUUGGUGAGGCACCUUCUGAGUCCCCUGGAACGGGGCGCCAU